rnacentral:rRNA from 1 species
UACGGGGGGAGCAAGCGUUGUUCGGAUUUACUGGGCGUAAAGGGCGCGUAGGCGGCCACCGCAAGUCGACUGUGAAAUCUCCGGGCUUAACCCGGAAAGGUCAGCCGAUACUGCGGGGCUAGAGUGCAGAAGGGGCAACUGGAAUUCUCGGUGUAGCGGUGAAAUGCGUAGAUAUCGGGAGGAAUACCUAUGGCGAAAGCAGGCUACUGGACCGUCACUGACUCUGAUCUGCGAAAGCUAGGGGAGCAAACAGG